rnacentral:tRNA from 1 species
GUCCGUGUAGCUCAGUUGGUAGAGCAUGGUGUUUGCAACACCAGGGUUGUGGGUUCGAUUCCCACGGGGGACC